rnacentral:lncRNA from 1 species
AAAAUAAGAAUUGUGCACAUUGUUCACUCUAUGUGAAGGGGAAGGGUAUGUAAACUGGAGUUGUGCUUGUGCUUGUGUUGCGCAAUGGAAAAGGGGAAAGGUAGUUUCUGCCUGAAGGGGAAGGGUAGGGUCUACUGCGCAAAGGGGAAAGGUCUCUCUUUGUGUUGGGUAUGCAUUUUUCAGUCUAGGAUUAUUUCAUUUCAUUAAAAAAUUAGGUGGGUUGGUGAGCUAACCAGACUCACCACGGGUUCAACUCAGGUAAGCCGAACUCAAAAUUAACCCAAAUCGAAAUUUCAUUUUUUU